GGAGAGGUGUCCGAGUGGUUUAAGGUGCCGCUCUCGAAAAGCGGUGUGGUCCAAAGCCACCGCGGGUUCGAAUCCCGCCCUCUCCG
rnacentral:tRNA from 1 species